GUGCUUGCUUUGGCAGGACACAUACCAAAUCUGAAACGGUACAGCGAAGAUUAGCAUGGCCCUGUGCAAAGACAUGCCAAUUCAUGAAGCGUUCCAUAUUUAA
rnacentral:snRNA from 1 species